UAAUAAAAGAAAGAUGAGGCUCUGAGAGCCUUAUCUCAGAAAAUGGGGAAAAGAGGCAGUAUGCCUCUUGACCCGUGAAGAAAAAUAAAAAGAGGGAAGAAUGAAGAUUUUUCAUUUUUCUUUACGAAAAUCCUUGAUCUACGAAGAUCCAACGGUCCGAUCUUCAAUCCGACUUCGGUAACGUGAUCUACGAAGCCUGAUCUACGUUUCUACCGAUCGGUUUGAGAUUUUGGGUAGUUUGGAGUUACUAGGAGCUUCCCGAGCAUUUGGUCUUUGCUUGGCGAAUUUUUGUAAUGCAUUGCAUGGUGGUGUCUAGGAGACCUAGUGCUUAAUAUCCGCGCAGCCAGAUGAUGUUUCUUUGGCUGCAGGUACUUCGGUAUAGUCGAUGGGUCGAUAGCAGUGUGCUUGAGAUAUUAUGACUGAAGCUCGCCGCGACAGUUGUAAUGGUCGGACCACGGGUUGUCCACUAUUUUAUAGGAUUGGUAUGGCUUGUGACGUUUGUGUCACUUAUUAUUUGUUAAGCCAUUAUUGUUAUAGUGUUAAUAAGACUCAAGCAGAUAGAUGUUAAAUGGCUCUUUGUUGUAAUUAACUUGUGAUAGAUGUAUAAGUUGUAAUUUCCGCUAUUCAGAUUUAUGUUUUCCGCUGCA